CCUACGGGGGGCAGCAGUGAGGAAUAUUGGUCAAUGGCCGGAAGGCUGAACCAGCCAUGCCGCGUGAAGGACAGAGCCCUAUGGGCGUUAAACUUCUUUUGUGCGGGAGCAAUAAUGGUCACGUGUGGCCAUACGAGAGUACCGUACGAUUAAGCAUCGGCUAACUCCGGGCCAGCAGCCGCGGUCAUACGGGGGAUGCAAGCGUUAUCCGGAUUUAUUGGGUUUAAAGGUUGCGUAGGCUGUGAGGUAAGUCAGCGGUGAAAUUCCCCCGCUCACCGGGGUGAAGUGCCAUUGAUACUGGCUGACUGGAGUGCGGAUGAGGUGAGAGGAAUGUGUGGUGUAGCGGUGAAAUGCAUAGAUAU
rnacentral:rRNA from 1 species